UUCUACAGUAGUUUUAUUACAUUCAAUAUCUUACACAUUUUUAUUAGUGUCAUUGCAGCUUCUUUGUGAACAAAACCUAUUCAUUCAUUAAUAAACAGAGAAAAACAUCACAUCCAUGAGAUCUUCCCAAAUAGCAGUUUCAAGUCUUUAGGAGAUAUUGGUUUUAAUACAAGGUGAAUUUAUUUAAAUAUUAGACGUAUGCAUUGAAACAUGUAUCUAAACGUAAUGUAAAUGCAAACAGUAAGUGUUUGUUUAGAUUGAAUGAAUCAUCUCUGAGAAUGGAUAAGGCACACCUGAUGGCUUUUAGGUAACCAGUAGAACAUUUAGAUUUUUUUGUUUUUGUCGAAGAAAAAUAUCAUUAGAAAUCCCAGAAAUAUCCUCACGGACCUUCAAACACAAUAAUAGUUUUUUUCUCUUACCAAAUCAAUGCAUGAAAAGCUAACAUAAUCAGGCAACCAGGCAAAUAAAAAGCAGCGAAGAACAUAAACAACAAAACAUUUAAAAAACAACAAACAACCACAACUAAAGAAUCAUUCACUCCAGUCCAGUUGCCAGGGAAACAAAGCUAACAUCAAGGCCUGAGGCUUACAUUAGAGCACCUCAUAUACACCCUGGCAUGGCUGUAUUCUGAGACCCUACAGGCACCAGGAAGACGACUGUUUCAGGCCCUCUUCCCCCCCGCGUUGGGCAGACUGGAGGCUUGUUUGUGGUAGCAGUCCGGGGGGCUAGUGUUCAUGCCUGUAGGGACGUAGUACAUGCUAUCCAGGUAGCUCUGGUCCAGAGGUGCAUGACUCUGGGGCUCCGGCUUGGACCCCUGGCUCCCGGGGCUCCCAUAGCCGACCUGAGCGCCAUUCUGGUGCAUCGUCCCUGGGACUGGAGCCUCUGGGUGGCGGGGUGGCUGGGGCUGGGGAUGAGGUGCAGGAGGAGGGGGGCCAUAGGGGAGGUACUGGGGGGCUGGGGCAUAUAUAUUGGGGUUGUGGAUGGAAGAGUAGGGGGCCGCUGAGGCAGUGGAGUAGGGAGCGGCCAAAGGAGGGUAAAGUCCUGAGUGAGACAUGGUACUCUGAGGGAUGAGCACCUCCACGUACUGGCCCGUCUCUGGAUCAAACAGCAUCUUCCUCAGUGGCUGCACAGGCACCUCAAUGUAGAAAUACUUCCCCGUGUCAGGAUCCAUGAGGACCCUGCGAGGGGUUUGCCCGUACCCCAGACCACCUGUACUGUCUGGGUAGUCAGACCCAGACAGACUCCCAUAAUCAGAUCCAUAGGAUGGCCCUAGGCUCUGUGAGCUGCACAAGUACUGAGGGUCCAUAGGGGGCAGGUUGGGAGAGUGGCUGUGGUCACUGUAGGGGCCCCCGGAGACAGAUGGCUGGCCCUGGGGGGAGCGGUGGAGAGUGGGGGCCCGGCGGGGUUCCAUGUGUUGGGGGUGCUGGAGAGGGCGGUCAGCCAGGCAGGGCUGGAGUAUGGAGGGGUGGGGUUGGUGGAGGGACUGGUACAUGCCUGGAGGGGGCUGAGUGGGGCUGGGGAGGUUGGAUGAUUUGGGAGAGCUGGGCUGGUAGCCGAUUGAUCUCAGAGAAUGGGGAUCCGCUCUGCACUGGUGUAGGCGGAGAGGAGGUUGACCAGGGGAGUGGGAGGGGGAGGGGAAGGGAGGGGUGUGGGGGGAGUGGUGGUGGUGAUGGGGUGUAAGGCCGUGGGAGGGGCAGCCAGAGGUGCAGGAGCAGGGAGGGGGACGGGAGGAGGCAGAGGAGAAGGGAGAGGAGGGGUGGUAGCGGUUCAGCUUCCUCUGGGGCAGGUCAGGUAGGUGGAGGGGGCUGAACCUCUCUCUCUCGUCAUAACUAGGGGGGUCAUCUGAUGCGUAGAAACGCAGGUCGUCUGCCCUCUGCGAGUGGUCGCUAGACAAGGAUCUGUGUAUGGGCUGCUGUGUGUGUAUGUGGUGUGUGUAUACGGGAGCCUGUGUGUUUGUGGAUACCGUGGCAGGUUGGUUUGUAUUGUUGAAGGUAACCGGCAUAGUUUGCUCCUGAGGGUAUGCUGUUUUUGUUUUUGGAUGCUGCAGGUGGUUGGUUAUAUCCACAUCAGCUGACUGGCUUGAGUGUAUGGCAGGGGAAUUGGUAGGGACUUGGGCAGGGGCAUGGGUAGGGACUUGGGCAGGAUCUGGGGCAGCAGGGGCUUGGUUCGGAGCUGGGGCUGGAGCUGGGGCUGAGACUGUGAGGGUUGUGGGUCUCUGUGUGUAGCUGGGGGCCUCUCCUUGUCCCUGGGUUGAGGCCUCUGGUUGCUUUGGCCUUUCAUUGGAUGUCUCUGUGUCUACUGUUGUUGAUGGUGGUUUGUGAGAGAAACUAGCGAUGAUUGUUGUUUUGGUAGGUGAAGGCCUGUAGCUAGACACUGCAGAAACUGAUAACUUUUUAUUGUAGUUAGACGCUGGGGUCGAAUUAUUCGAUAGAUGUCUGUGGAUAGUCGUAGCUGAAGUUGAUGGUUUCUCAUUGUUCACAGGUCUCUCCUCUUCUGUGUUCUGUUUGAAGGUUGAUGUUGGUGCUUCCACGGAUUUCUGCUGUAUUUCAUUGGACAGUGAAUUUGCAUCUGUCGGUUUGAACUUUGGUUUCAGUGCCAGUGGCGGACCGUUGGAUAUUGAGUGAACCUCUAUAGCUUGCGGUCUGGUGUUUGACGUGAUGUUCUUCUCUUGUUUAUCUUGUUUAUGUAUUUCUUUGGACAACGACCUCACCUCGAUCACUUGUGGUCUGUAUCUUCUCAUCAGUGCUGGUGAGCCUGGUAGCGAGCCUGGUAACUUAGGUGAGUAGGUUGAUUUCUUCACCGUCUCUUUUUCAGCAGUGUCUUCCUGUGUUUUCUUCUGUGAGGGUGGUGGUGAUGAUGUCGUGCGUUGCUCUAUGUCUCUGACCGUGGCUCUGACACUAACCCUCUCCUGAUUCGAAGGGGUCCUAACACUGUCUUCCGUUUGAGCAGAGUCUCUUCGAAGCCCGGGAGAAUUUGGGGCCGAAUGGGUAUGUGAGGAAGAGGCUGAUGCAUUGACGGAAGAUGAGGAAAAGGAUGAGGCUGAAGUUGAUGCAUUGACAGAGGUCGAGGAGAAGGAUGAGGUUUCUUUCACAGUGCUUGAGGAUGAUACGGAUGAGGCUGCUUUCACAUAGGAUGAAGAAGAGGACGAGUAAGUUCUCUGUCUGUGUGAGUCACUCGUACCCCCAUCUGAGGGUCCACGGGUCUGAAGAGGGAUCUCUAUUUGGUUGAUAUGUUUCCCUGGGACGCCUCCACCUCCACCCCCACCUUCACGCCCACUCCUUGUUAUGGCCUCUGACACAGCCUCAGAGACCAAAGACCCAAUAUCUGCCUGGUAGCCCUUCUCCUUCACCAGUAUGGACACAGAGUGGCUGGGGGUAGGGGUCUUGAUGGGGACAGUGGAAGGUGGAGUGCCUAGAACUGGGGAUGAAGCUGGUGCUGGAGGAGAAGCUGGGGCUGGCGAAGCUUUGGGACCAAGUGAGGGUGAGGAGGCCAGGAUUGGAGCUGGGGCUGGGAAUGCUGGAGCUGGACCUGGGGAACAGGCAGGAACUAAGGCUGAGAAUGACUUGGGCUUAUUAGAUCCAUCCUGUAGCACCAGAGAAGCACAAGACACUCUUCUGUCUUUACUGGGGAGUUUAGGGCUGCUGCCCAGCAUAGGUGGCUUGGUAUCUCUUCUCACCACUUCAGGUUUGUCACUAGCCUCUGAUAUACUUCGGUGUCUCCUGGUUACUCUCAGUGACUCUGUUUCACUGGGUUUCACCUUGGUGUUGCUUGGUUCUGUUUUGACAGUGUCCUUUACAGGGGUCUUGUGUUGGUUUGACUCUGUCUCUGUCACAGCUACUUCCUCUGUUGCGCAACUCUUAGGUGCUACAUCAGAGAGGUUCCGGGGUCCUUUGGACACCGGCUUAGGUUCGCCUCUAGACGUUUCUCUCUCUGUUUUGUUGGACAUUGUUGUUGUUUUGUUUUUGUUUUCUCUCCAGCUGAUAGCUUUGAAUUCCAUCUGCAUCGGCUUUUCCUCUUUCUGGAGAGAUAUUGGGUGAGGUGGUAGCUUGUCCUCUUUCUGAAGAGAUAUUGGGUGAGGUGGUAGCUUUUCCUCUUUCUGAAGAGAUAUUGGGUGAGGUGGUAGCUUUUCCUCUUUCUGAAGAGAUAUUGGGUGAGGUGGUAGCUUUUCCUCUUUCUGAAGAGAUAUUGGGUGAGGUGGUAGCUUUUCCUCUUUCUGAAGAGAUAUUGGGUGAGGUGGUAGCUUUUCCUCUUUUUGAAGAGAUAUUGGGUGAGGUGGUAGCUUUUCCUCUUUCUGAAGAGAUAUUGGGUGAGGUGGUAGCUUGUCCUCUUUCUGAAGAGAUAUUGGGUGAGGUGGUAGCUUUUCCUCUUUCUGAAGAGAUAUUGGGUGAGGUGGUAGCUUUUCCUCUUUCUUCUCUUCUCUCCUUACUAUUGUCUCUUCAUACCUCCCCUCUUUCCUUUCCACUCUGUCAUCUUUCUUCUCUUCCCUCCUUUCCUCCUUCCUUUCCUCUUUUCUCUCCUCCCUCCUUUCCUGUCUCGGUUCCUCUCCCCUCUCCUCACUCCUCUCCUCCUUCUCUGGUGCUGGCAUGGCCUUGAACGACAGGUUGUAUGUGUUUUUCACCAGCCUUCUCACAUCUCUCACUUUGUGCAUGGGAGCUUUGGCUUUACUGUUCCUAUUGGCAUCCAUAUUCACCAUCUGUUCAUUCAUCUUGUUCAAGGUAUUCACCCCCUUCUCUUCUUCUCUUGUUACUCUAUGUGAAGUCCCUAUUCUCCUGUCUUCCUCUCUGGUUUCUGCAUGUGAAGUCUCCACUGUCCUGUCUUCUUCUGUUGUUUCUCUCUGACAGGUCUUCCCAGGGGAGGCAGUCUCGUGGUUACCCUCAGGUUUAGUUUCUAUCUCGGGCAACAGUGAGAUGUUGAGAGAAGAGGUUUUCUUUAUCUCUGUAACAGGGCUGGGUUUCAGAGUGAUCUCUGGUGUUUUGGACAUGUAGGUGCUCUUGACACUCGGAUGUUUAUGGUUUAAAGAGUCAGAGGGGUAUUCCAGCUUUGUGUUUGUCAUUCCUGCCUGCGUGCUGCUGGCUCGGGUGGCAGUGGGAACGCUGGUGUUCCGGGCAGCUGCAUCUGCUGAGUCACCUGCCUGUUUGUAAUCCCUCUCAUCCCUCCAUUUACUGUCAUCCCUCUCAUCCCUCCAUUUACUGUCAUGUGUCUGCUUACCCCCCAUAUUGGCAUUCUUCUCUGUGGGUUUUUUACUCUCAAACGGGAACACCAGUUCAGACCUCAUCUCUGGUUUGACCGGGUCAGUUCUCCAAGAGUUUGGGUUUCUGGCAGGAGACUCAGUUCUGUCGCUGUUUCUCUGAGGACAAUUAGUAGUAGGGGGCUCAGAUCUCAUCCAAGGGCUAACAUGGUUAGGGCUUCUGUUGCUGUGAGAUUCAAUUCUCUCGUUGCUUCUCUGAGGAAAGGUAACAGGAGCAACAUGUGCGUUGGGACUCAUCUCAGGGGUUGUGCUGGUAGGUUCAGGCCUCUCGUUGCUUCUCCGAGGAAAGGUAACA
ensembl:lncRNA